ensembl:lncRNA
GAUGGACUCCCUAAUAUCUCUUCAUCAGAAGCUGAAAGAUGAGCCUCCCAGUUUACUCGAGGUCAUUCUGUAGACAAAACCUCCAAAUGGAUACUUCUAGGGAUGUAAGGUUGUUUGAAACUGAAGCAUGUCUUUAUCCUCUGAAACUGAGAAGAACAAAUGCAACUUUAUGGUUCUUAUCACAUGUUAACAAUUAGUUUAUACUUACUGGAAUGAAUUGUCAUAACGGACGCAAGAGAGGGUACUUUAUAUGCUUCGUGGGACACCACUGAAAGAUCUGCAGCCUUCUCAGUCAUAUUCUAUGAUUCUAUGAUAUUCAAGGAACUCUGUCCAAAGGCCAAGAGAUGCUGAUUGAAAGAACCAUUUUGCCUGCC